GGGAGCGGCUCAGCUCCGCUAGCCUCUAUUUAUAGAGCCCGGAACCCGAAAUAGCGCGGAGCCGAGCGGCCGGGAUGACGCGGGAGCCGCCGGGGGCUGACUCACCCGGCCCGGAGCGGCGGCCCCCGGAUGGGGGACAGUGGAGGCGCUGGACUCGACCCCACGCCAUUCCGGGCACCUCUUCUGCUGGGACGUCCCAGGUUUCCACGAGGCACUGUGGUUGGAUACGCAGCAAAAAGGAGGAUCUGCAGCACGAGAGACUGAGGUUAGAUCAGAGGUGGGACUUCCCUCAAAGAGCCCAGAAUCAAAGAACUAACUUUAUACAAGAAGAGGGGUUGGGAAGGAGGGGAGAUGAACCAGAUAUACACACGUAUUUAUCACCAGCAAUAGGACUGAGGCGUCUUGGGGGCAGAAACAUGGACACAACCGAGCCAAACCCCUGGGUCACAGCUGUCCCCCUCUCCGCUUGCCAUGGCUUCUUGCAUGCUGUUCCCACUCCCUAGAAUGCCUUUUCCUGCCUCCCCAGUCUUACAAAUUCAUGCUCCUCAGAGACCUGGUGCUAAGGGCAAUCCCUCACAAAUUAAAACUAUGACCCACUGGACUGGAAGCCCCAUGAGGGUAGGGCCAGGCGCUUCUCAAUCAUCACCAUUUUCCCAACAUAAGAUAGACCUCUGGAGAAAUUAACUGCGUGAAUAAAAACUGUUGGUAAUAAAAUAAAAUGACUUUUCCCAAACUAUCACAGCAAAUGUUGGUUGUAUGCUACAUGCCAGGUGUGAGUCGGACAGUUAUCUCCUAUGGGUCUCACUACAACCUUAGGAGCGAGGUAUUUUUAUUAUUUUCAUCAUCACCAACCUCAUGAUGUUUGUGGCCCCAGGGACUGUAGCCCUCCAGGCUCUCCUGUACACAGGCUUUCCCAGGCAAGAAUACAGGAGUGGGUUGCCAUUUUCUUCUCCAGGAGAUCUUCUCAACCCAGGGAUCGAACCUGCGGCUCCUGUAUUAGCAGGCAGAUGCUUUACCACUGAGCCAUCUGGGAAGCCCAACACCAUGUUAGAGAUGAAGAAACUGAGAUUCAAGGAAUACCUUACAUGUCCUCAGAACUGUCUCCUGAACCAGGUACCCUGGCCCCGGAGAUGUUCAGUUCCCAGGACACUGUGUUUAGUUCCUAUUGGACCGAAAGCAUUUGCAAAGACUUUCAGGACGAUGUCAAAUGGCAAGGUUGAUCGGUCCUCAUAUACUCCACAUCGCAGCCUUCUGAGAAGACUUUUUUUUUUGGCUGUAUCAGGUCUGAGUUGUGGUGUGCCGGCCCUAGAGCAACAUGGGCUCGAUAGUUUCCACCUGCAGGCUUAGUUGCCCUGUGGUAUGUGGGAUCUUAGUUCCCCGACCAGAGAUCAAACCUGCAUCCCCUGCAUUUGGAAAGCAGAUUCAUAACCAACGGACCGCUAGGAAAGUCCCUGAGAUGACUUAUCUUGUUAUUCCUAUUGUGUAGAAGGAGAAAGUGAGGUACAGAGAGGCAAGUCUCUUGAUCAAGGCCACACAGCAAAGAAGCAAACAAACCAGGACUUCAACAAAAGCUUGUGUUCUCAACCACUGCCUUAAAAGAAAAUUCAAUAGGCAUUCUGUAUUUUUUUUUUUAAAUAGGCAUAAUACCUUGUGAGUUUCCACAGUGGCCCCUGGAUCUUGAAUGAGGCUCUGGGGACCUGAGAUCUGAUUCUGACUCUGCCUUCUUUUUGAGCCUCAGUUUUCUCCUUUGAGACAGCAUUUGAAAGCCACAGAAACGCCGUCUUCAGGGUGUAAGGGGACAGGCCCCCAAACAGACUGUAUUCAUUUCCUGUGGCUGCCUAACAAAUUACCACAAACUUGGUGGCUUAAAACAACAGAAAUUUAUUCUCUCUCAGUUCUGGAGACCGGAAAUCCUAUUAUAAAUCAAAAUAUCAGCAGGGUCACACUCCCUCUGGCUUUUUUUAAACUUUUCUUCUUAUUACUUUUAUCUAUUUAUUUUUGGUGGCACUGCAUUUUCGUGGCUGUGCUCGGACUUUAGCUUUGGCCAGUGGGGGCAGCUCUUUGUUGCGGUGCUUGGGCUUCUCAUCACGGUGGCUUCUUUUGAUGCCGAGCACAGGCUCUAGAUCGAUGACUCAGUAGUUGUGGCUUAGCUGCUCCGAGGCAUGUGGAAUUUUCCUGGACGAGGGAUCGAUCCCUCGUCCCCUGCAUUGGCAGGCAGAUUCCUAACCACUAGACCACCCUCUGAAUUUUCUAGGGGAAGAUUCUUCCCUGCCUCUUCCAGCUUCUGGUCACCCUAGGCGUUCCUGGGCUUGUGACUCCAUCAGUCUCAUCUCUCCCUCCAUUUUCACAUGACUACAUCUCUAAUCCAUCUCUAGUUUCCCUCUGCUGGGCUCUCUCUUUCUCUCUUUUAAUAUCUACUUCUCCAUUUAUUUAGGUCUUCCCUAAUUUCUCUCAGCGAUGUUUUAUUAGUGUGCAGAUCUUGCACAUCUGUUAUUUAUUUAUUUUUGACCAUGCUGCAAGGCAUUCAGGAUCUUAGUUCCCUGACCAGGAAUUGAACCUACGCCCCCUGCGGUGGAGGUGUGAGUCCCAACCCCUGGACCUCCAGGGAAUCUCCUCCCCCAUACUGCCUUUCUCUUGUAAAGACACUUGACACUGGGUUUAGGGACCACUUGGAUAAUCCACAGUGAUAUCAUCUCAAGAUCCUAACCUUAAUUAUAUCUGCAAAGACUCUUUUUCCAAAUAAGUUCCCAUUCACAGAUCUCAGGUAGACUCAUCAUGGGUUGGAGAAGGGCACAUCAUUCAACCCAUUACACGGAUUAAAACAGAAAAAUGAGAACAGGAAAACAUGUGGCAGAGUUUGGGCUGGGAGGCACCCAAAGCUUUGUGACUGCACACCCCCGUUCCAGUGGGGAAUGUCAAAGCAUGCGCCCUUGAGAGUCCAGAGUGGUCCCGGUGUGCUUCACAUGAUGGUCAGAAGUCGAGUGUGGCCACCAUGCUCGGAUAUUUCCAUGAGGAUGGGAAGUCUUUAAGGGAGUUUUUCAUUCUUCAACUCUUAAAGUGGAGUUGAGAGAUUUUCUCUUUCACAAAAUUCCAAAUAAUAAUAAAAGUCAAACACUCGCACA
rnacentral:lncRNA from 1 species